ACAAUUCAGUUAUACUUUCAUUUCCCCAUUUCUACUCCCGAUUAUAAAUUACUGCAAAAAUGACGGUUGCCACUACCGAGCGCGGCGGAAUUGGAGGCUUCCGGCAGCCUAGGAUUGGCGGCGCCGCCACCACCUGCCUCCCGCCUCGGCCGCGGCGAUUGAUUCCGAAGAGGGGCCAAGUUGUCAGGAAAGCAAUGCAGACUCUGUUCUCGUGUUUCCUUCCUCAUCGUACGGACAACAAACGGUGUUGUUGUCGAUGACACCUUAGUAAUAUAAUGCUAUUGAAAACACAUUUUUCUUAAGAGAAUCAAGAAUGUUAACUUAGAGCUGCAGUUUGUAUGUUCCGGACCCAAAAAUAAAAGGGCGGAGAUGGAUCUUUUCAUCUUUUGUGCACGAGUGAAUUACAGAAACUGACUGAAAAACUGUUUGGACGAUUGCGAUUUACAUUCUCCAAUUACUUUUGGGUCGGAAUUCUGUGACUUAGGAUUAGUCUAGAGUCAGUAGCAAGCUGACAAAUUUAAAAAAAAAAUAAUUCUAGUUUUUGUUUUUGUUU